UAUCGGCGAUGACGGUAGGUUGGUAGGAAGUACCAUCUCGUUACGGUAAUCCAGCUAAUUGUGAGCGACCAUAGAGACAAAACCUCCACGAGUGAAAACGGUCCAGAAAAUGUAGCGGUGAUCUACAACGAAAAAUAACUAUACGAUCGAUGAAGGAAAUGAUGAAACACACACACAUACGAAUAGGGACUUCACGGGGACGUUAUAACAACACCGACUGUGUCAAUGGCAGCUCAGCACAUAUAUACAGCACUUAUCAAAACCACCACGCUUUUAUCAAAACAUCUCGUGGAUCAAUACCUAAGUCUGCGAGGAACUUUGGGAUAACGCUCCAUGCUUGUUCUCAGUACGCGACAACGUCGAUACAUCGUGUGUUCAAAGCCAGCAUCUGAACCAGAACCUACUCCACAAUCACCUAUUCACCCAUGAUAGAGAAAUGCAACGAGGGAAAAUAUGAUGGAAGUCAUUCGAGUGGAACCCAAAUAGAAACCACGUGGAAUUCACAGACAUGCACGCGCCGAACAAGCGAAAAAAAAACACAAAACCUUGGUUUGUAUGAAAAACAGAAAAUGAUAUUUGAUUCUUUAAAAAGUAUUGGAACACGGCACCUCCAAAGAGGCGGGAUGAAGCAGGUGUGAGGACGCACGCAAAGUGCCGCAUAAACAGUCCGCAACAGCUGUUCCUUCGGUGGCGCAGUACCGCCAAUCGAUCGGGAAUAUCCCACUCGGCGAGCACGCGCCUCACCCUCCAUACUCUCCUACUCCAUCACUAUUUUCAGGGUUAAAGUGUUUAGCUUCAAACUAAAAAAAAACUGUU